GCACUUCUACUCAAACUGACUGACCUCGUCUUCCUGUGAAAGAUCAUUUGGCAAAGCAAAUCAAUGUCCUGUACGAAUAUGCCCUUUUUAACUUUGUUAUAAACUUUCUAAUAUAUUUUUUAGUUUAGUUGUAUUAUUCCAGGACAGCACUUUUCACAUGGGUGGCCAGUCAGAGACCAAUGUUAGUGUCUUUUUCAGUCUUCAGAACACCGUAUGUCUUUUUAACAUCAGACAUUUUGACAUGUCUUAGCAGGAAAAGCACAGCUGUAGCUAAUAACAUUAAAAAUGUAGGUGUGUUAGUGUUGGGCCCUGAUUUUGUGCAUGCUGACCUAUUGGGGCGUUUAAAUGGAAAAGAGACUUUAUUAAUGUUAUUAGUAACAGCUGUGCUUUUAUUGCUCUGACAAGUCCACAUACAAGUUGUGAAAAAGGCCUAUUAGAUACCAUAUAUUAUAUGGCAUUUCUUUUUAUAUAAGAAAGUAGAGAGAAAUAGGACAGGGUGCCUGAUGAGGAUGCUAGAGGGGAGCUUUCUCUGUCCUCGCCUUAAAGCAGCUAUAAUGAUUUUUUUUUUCUCAAUAGUUUUAUGGUCGCUGACUGUUGGUGCUUUUGAAAUGUAUACAGAAGAAAACUUUCAGGAUGGAGAGGAGGAACGCACGCCAUUGUUGGAGAGGUGCCGACCACGAUGAAAGUACAGUUCCACCCAAGAUUGACCAGUGUGCACCAGGUACCCACCAUGAUGCUAUAGGCCUCUCCAGUCCCGCUGCCCCUCUCUCUGGUCUGUCCCACUGGGAUGAUGCCCUGGUUCAGCAGCUCCUCCAGGAUAUCACUGGACUUUGGGCGCUCCUGCACUGUGCUGUCACGCUGCAGCAAGCCUGUGAGACAGACGAAAUAAAAACACUUUAGGUUGUUGCACUGGA